rnacentral:lncRNA from 1 species
UUUGAAGUGAAACAAUAAAUCAAGUUAAGAAAAAGAACAAUCUGCAACAUAAUCUGGGAUUCUGCGACACACAACCCAAGUUUUUGCAACAUUUGAUGUGUGUUUUGAUGUCAUACAACAAUCACUGACAAAUAGCAAUGAUACAUUGACUGAACCAAUUAUUCUGCACUAGAUGUCCAUUCUGACAAUAUAUAACUCUACAGUGAUGCUGAAGGCCAUAAUAUUCGAAAAUUUAAAUCUCAUGAGAUUAUAAACCAAAAAGGACAAAAAGUAUUGCCUAAGAAAUUCAAGGAUUCACAGUUUUGCAUGAGAGAGAUAUGUUCCUCAAUUUAAAAUAGUUUCCAAAAUUUUGUUACAUCACAUUUUAAUAACACAAUAUUUGUAUUUUCAUGCUAGUUAGUAGUAUAAAAGUAAGAACUGCCUACUGGGCUUGAGAUACCCUCAGGCCACCAUCAGUGGUAUUAACCCAGUUGUAGUAAUAACAAUGAAAGCAGUACACAUUUUUCUGCACUAUAGUUACAAUGUACAAUUUUUGGCAAUUAAAAUACAUUUUGAUAUAUUAGCAAUACUAUGAGGUCUAUCAAUAAUAAGUAAAAUCACAAAUAUACUUAACUCCGAGUAAAUUUAAAACGGAAAGUCCCUAAUUAAAUGGCAAAAUCCAAAGCUCAAACACAUCAAACUGACUUUGGUACAGGUAUUUUCUUAUGUAGAAAAUGGUGGAACAUCAACAGAUGUUUUAUGGUAAACCAGUUUAUACAGUGAAAGCUCCAGG